UGCCCGCGGUGCAGCCCCCGUCCCUGCCUCCUCUGCCCCUGAACGAGCCGCUGGGCAAUGCGGGGAGGGCAGCGAACUGGGGGAGCGCCCUCACCCCUCCUCGUCCCCUUCCUCCCCCGGCCCACCUGGGCGCCGUCAGCGGCCGCCCAAGCCCCCGGGGACCGUGCCGCGGCUCUCGGCCGUCGUGGCCCGGCACCGGCCGCCUCUCCCGGUCCGUCGGAGGAGGAGGAGGAGGAAGAGGAGGAGGAGGAGCCGUGGACACCUCCCCUGGCACUCGCCGCGCUCCUAGCCGGCAGGCCGGGGGACAGCGCGCAAGGCGGCCGUGCGAACCGCACCGAAGCCCCCGCAGAUUUUUUUGCCCGCAAACCCGCGUUCAGCGAAGCCAAGCCCCCCGGGCCCCCCCGGACCCCCAACCCGUCCUCCCCUUCCCACCGGGGCUCUCGCAGCCGCGCCCCUCCCCGCCUCCAGUCUUGCAGCGCUGCGCACCCGCGGAGCCCCCCGCAGCCCCCGGCACGGCUCGGCACGGCUCGGCACGGCUCGGCACGGCUCGGCAUGGCUCGGCAUGGCUCGGCACGGCUCGGCACGCACUUACUCCGCGGGGCCUCCCGGGUGGAGGCUCGGGCCCGGCGGCUCCCCAGGCGCGUUGCUAGAAAAAAACAGCGAUGGGGUUUUACACUUUUCAUGAUGCAGGCCGACGGGACCACGUUCAAAAGCACGGGAAUUAAAAAAAAAAGGAGGCGAGGAUGCUGGAGGUGGUGAGGGUGAGUACCCUGGGCGGGUACCGCGUGUGCGGAGGAUGCGAACAGCUCUGGGGCCCGAGGUAUGGCCGGGGCAGAGGCUGGGGGCGACCUCCAGGGGCGAUCCAUCAACAGCAGCCCAUCCAGCGUCUCCUGCCCCCUCACUAAUUGCUUUGGCUUUUCUCCCAAUUAGUGCCUGCGCACUUCCUUGCUCCCCCAGCGCGCACCGGAGUGAAAAUGGGGCAGAGAAGUCCUGUGCUGUGAGGGGUAAAAGGGCAACGGUGCAACGGGUCCCCACAUCUACAGAUUUUUUUUUUUCUUUCCCCUUCUGCACAGUGAAGCAGGGUUGGCUGAGAAGUUUAAGUUUUAUUGAAUG
rnacentral:lncRNA from 1 species